rnacentral:rRNA from 1 species
CGAAGGGGGCUAGCGUUGCUCGGAAUUACUGGGCGUAAAGGGAGCGUAGGCGGGUUAUCAAGUUGGAGGUGAAAGCCCAGGGCUCAACCUUGGAAUUGCCUUCAAAACUGAUAGCCUAGAGUAUGAUAGAGGUAAGUGGAACUCCGAGUGUAGAGGUGAAAUUCGUAGAUAUUCGGAAGAACACCAGUGGCGAAGGCGACUUACUGGAUCAUGACUGACGCUGAGGCUCGAAAGCGUGGGGAGCAAACAGGAUUAGAUACCCUGGUAGUCCACGCUGUAAACGAUGAUUGCUAGUUGUCAGCCGGCAUGCCGGUUGGUGACGCAGCUAACGCAUUAAGCAAUCCGCCUGGGGAUACGGUCGCAAGAUUA